UACGUAGGGGGCAAACGUUAUCCGGAUUUACUGGGUGUAAAGGGAGCGUAGACGGCUUUGCAAGCCAGAUGUGAAAGCCCGGGGCUCAACCCCGGGACUGCAUUUGGAACUGUAUGGCUGGAGUGUCGGAGAGGCAGGCGGAAUUCCUAGUGUAGCGGUGAAAUGCGUAGAUAUUAGGAGGAACACCAGUGGCGAAGGCGGCCUGCUGGACGAUGACUGACGUUGAGGCUCGAAAGCGUGGGGAGCAAACAGG
rnacentral:rRNA from 1 species